AAUGGGGGGAACCCUGAUCCAGCCAUGCCGCGUGUGUGAAGAAGGCCUUUUGGUUGUAAAGCACUUUAAGUGGGGAGGAGGCUCUCUUGGUUAAUACCUGAGAAGAGUGGACGUUACCCACAGAAUAAGCACCGGCUAACUCUGUGCCAGCAGCCGCGGUAAUACAGAGGGUGCGAGCGUUAAUCGGAUUUACUGGGCGUAAAGCGCGCGUAGGUGGUUAAUUAAGUCAAAUGUGAAAUCCCCGAGCUUAACUUGGGAAUUGCAUUCGAUACUGGUUAGCUAGAGUAUGGGAGAGGAUGGUAGAAUUCCAGGUGUAGCGGUGAAAUGCGUAGAGAUCUGGAGGAAUACCGAUGGCGAAGGCAGCCAUCUGGCCUAAUACUGACACUGAGGUGCGAAAGCAUGGGGAGCAAA
rnacentral:rRNA from 1 species